rnacentral:rRNA from 1 species
GGGCCCGCACAAGCGGUGGAGUAUGUGGUUUAAUUCGAUGCAACGCGAAGAACCUUACCAGGGUUUGACAUCCUGCGAAUCUCUUGGAAACUUGAGAGUGCCUUCGGGAGCGCAGUGACAGGUGGUGCAUGGCUGUCGUCAGCUCGUGUCGUGAGAUGUUGGGUUAAGUCCCGCAACGAGCGCAACCCACGUCUUUAGUUGCCAGCAUUUAGUUGGGCACUCUAGAGAGACCGCCGGUGAUAAACCGGAGGAAGGUGUGGAUGACGUCAAAUCAUCAUGCCCCUUAUGUCUUGGGCUUCACGCAUGCUACAAUGGCCGGUACAGAGGGCUGCAAUACCGCAAGGUGGAGCGAAUCCCAAAAAGCCGGUCUCAGUUCGGAUUGAGGUCUGCAACUCGACCUCAUG